CGUAGGUGGCAAGCGUUGUCCGGAUUUACUGGGCGUAAAGGAUGCGUAGGUGGAUAUUUAAGUGGGAUGUGAAAUACCCGGGCUCAACUCGGGUGCUGCAUUCCAAACUGGAUAUCUAGAGUGCAGGAGAGGUAAGUGGAAUUCCUAGUGUAGCGGUGAAAUGCGUAGAGAUUAGGAAGAACACCAGUGGCGAAGGCGACUUACUGGACUGUAACUGACACUGAGGCAUGAAAGCGUGGGGAGCAAACAGGAUUAGAUACCCUGGCAGUCCACGCCGUAAACGAUGGGUACUAGGUGUGGGAGGUAUCGACCCCUUCCGUGCCGCCGUUAACACAAUAAGCACUCCGCCUGGGGAGUACGGCCGCAAGGUUG
rnacentral:rRNA from 1 species